rnacentral:rRNA from 1 species
UCGUAACAAGGUUUCCGUAGGUGAACCUGCGGAAGGAUCAUUAUCGAGUUUUGAACGGGUUGUAGCUGGCCUCUCACGGGGCAUGUGCACGCCUGGCUCAUCCACUCUUAACCUCUGUGCACUUUAUGUAAGAAGAAAAAAAUGGUGGAAGCUUCCAGGAUCUCGCGAGGGGUCUCUGGUCGAACAAGUCGUUUUUUCUUUCUUAUGUUUUACUACAAACGCUUCAGUUAUAGAAUGUCAACUGUGUAUAACACAUUUAUAUACAACUUUCAGCAACGGAUCUCUUGGCUCUCGCAUCGAUGAAGAACGCAGCGAAAUGCGAUAAGUAAUGUGAAUUGCAGAAUUCAGUGAAUCAUCGAAUCUUUGAACGCACCUUGCACUCCUUGGUAUUCCGAGGAGUAUGCCUGUUUGAGUCUCAUGGUAUUCUCAACCCCUAAAUCUUUGUAACGAAGGUUCAGUGGGCUUGGACUUGGAGGUUUGUGUCGGCCCUCGUCGGUCGACUCCUCUGAAAUGCAUUAGCGUGAAUCUUACGGAUCGCCUUCAGUGUGAUAAUUAUCUGCGCUGUGGUGUUGAAGUAUUUAUGGUGUUCAUGCUUCGAACCGUCUCCUUGCCGAGACAAUCAUUUGACAAUCUGAGCUCAAAUCAGGUAGGACUACCCGCUGAACUUAAGCAUAUCAAUAAGCGGAGGAAAAGAAACUAACAAGGAUUCCCCUAGUAACUGCGAGUGAAGCGGGAAAAGCUCAAAUUUAAAAUCUGGCGGCUUUGGUCGUCCGAGUUGUAUUCUAGAGAAGUGUUUUCCGCGUUGGACCGUGUAUAAGUCUCUUGGAACAGAGCGUCAUAGAGGGUGAGAAUCCCGUCUUUGACACGGACUACCAAUGCUUUGUGAUACACUCUCAAAGAGUCGAGUUGUUUGGGAAUGCAGCUCAAAAUGGGUGGUAAAUUCCAUCUAAAGCUAAAUAUUGGCGAGAGACCGAUAGCGAACAAGUACCGUGAGGGAAAGAUGAAAAGCACUUUGGAAAGAGAGUUAAACAGUACGUGAAAUUGCUGAAAGGGAAACGCUUGAAGUCAGUCGCGUUAGCUAGAACUCAACCAGGCUUGCUUGGCGUAUUUUCUAGUUAACGGGCCAGCAUCAGUUUUGACCGCAGGAAAAGGGCCAGGGAAAUGUGGCAUCUUCGGAUGUGUUAUAGUCUCUGGUCGUAUUCUGUGAUUGGGACUGAGGACCGCAGCACGCGCAAGCUGUGCUUAGGAUGCUGGCGU